GCUGGGUGUGGUGGUGCACACCUGUAAUCCCAGCUACUUGGGAGGCUGAGGUGGGAGAAUUGCUUGAGUCCAGAAAGGUCAAGGCUGCAGUGAGCCUCUGCACACACCACUGCACUCCAGCCUGAGCAACAGAGCGAGACCCUGUCUCAA
rnacentral:SRP_RNA from 2 species